UACGAGGGGGGCGAGCGUUGUUCGGAAUUAUUGGGCGUAAAGGGUGCGUAGGCGGUUUGGUAAGUCUGAUGUGAAAUCUAUGGGCUCAACUCAUAGUCUGCAUCGGAAACUGCCGGGCUUGAGUGUGGGAGAGGUGAGUGGAAUUCCUGGUGUAGCGGUGAAAUGCGUAGAUAUCAGGAGGAACACCUGUGGCGAAAGCGGCUCACUGGACCAUAACUGACGCUGAUGCACGAAAGCGUGGGUAGCAAACAGG
rnacentral:rRNA from 1 species